rnacentral:rRNA from 1 species
GAUAACUACUCGGUAAACGGUAGCUAAUACCGCAUAACGUCGCAAGACCAAAGAGGGGGACCUUCGGGCCUCUUGCCAUCGCGAUGUGCCCACGCAUGGGAUUAGCUAGUAGGUGGGGUAGACGGCUCACCUAGGCUGACGUAUCCCUAGCUGGUCUGAGAGGAUGACCAGCCACACUGGAACUGAGACACUGGUCCAGACUCCUACGGGUAGGCAGCAGUGGGGAAUAUUGCACAAUGGGCGCAAGCCUGAUGCACGCCAUGCCGCGUGCUAUGAAGAAGGCCUUCGGGUUGUAAGAGUACUUUCAGCGGGGAGGAAGGGAGUAAAGUUAAUACCUUUACUCAUUGACGUUACCCGCAGAAGAAGCACCGGCUAACUCCGUGCCAGCAGCCGCGGUAAUACGGAGGGUGCAAGCGUUAAUCGGAAUUACUGGGCGUAAAGCGCACGCAGGCGGUUUGUUAAGUCAGAUGUGAAAUCCCCGGGCUCAACCUGGGAACUGCAUCUGAUACUGGCNAGCUUGAGUCUCGUACAGGGGGGUAGAAUUCCAGGUGUAGCGGUGAAAUGCGUACAGAUCUGGAGGAAUACCGGUGGCGAAGCGGCCCCUGGACGAAGACUGACGCUCUAGUGUCGAAAGCGUGGGGAGCAAACAGGAUUACGAUACCCUGGUUUUCCACGCCGUA